rnacentral:rRNA from 1 species
UACGGGGGGGGCAAGCGUUGUUCGGAAUUACUGGGCGUAAAGAGCUCGUAGGCGGCCCUCUGCGUCGGCUGUGAAAUCCCCAGGCUUAACCUGGGAAUGGCAUCCGAUACUGGAGGGCUUGAAUUCGGGAGAGGGAUGCAGAAUUCCCGGUGUAGCGGUGAAAUGCGUAGAUAUCUGGAGGAAUACCGGUGGCGAAGGCGGCAUCCUGGACCGAGAUUGACGCUGAGGAGCGAAAGCUAGGGGAGCAAACGGG